rnacentral:misc_RNA from 1 species
GAUGAAGAACGUAGCGAAAUGCGAUAAGUAAUGUGAAUUGCAGAAUUCAGUGAAUCAUCGAAUCUUUGAACGCACAUUGCGCCCGCCAGUAUUCUGGCGGGCAUGCCUGUUCGAGCGUCAUUUCAACCCUCAAGACCCCUUCGGGGGACUUGGUGUUUGGGACCGGCACAGGGGCCUGCCUGCUUGUCUUGCAGCGCCCUCGCCGCCCCCGAAAUGAAUUGGCGGCCUCGUCGCGGCCUCCCCUGCGUAGUAGCACAAACCUCGCAACGGGAACGUGACGGCGGCCACUGCCGUAAAACAACCCAAUUUUAUUAGAGUUGACCUCGAAUCAGGUAGGAAUACCCGCUGAACUUAAGCAUAUCAAUAAGCGGAGGA